UGGGGAAUAUUGCACAAUGGGCGCAAGCCUGAUGCAGCCAUGCCGCGUGUAUGAAGAAGGCCUUCGGGUUGUAAAGUACUUUCAGCGGGGAGGAAGGCGAUAAGGUUAAUAACCUUGUCGAUUGACGUUACCCGCAGAAGAAGCACCGGCUAACUCCGUGCCAGCAGCCGCGGUAAUACGGAGGGUGCAAGCGUUAAUCGGAAUUACUGGGCGUAAAGCGCACGCAGGCGGUCUGUCAAGUCGGAUGUGAAAUCCCCGGGCUCAACCUGGGAACUGCAUUCGAAACUGGCAGGCUAGAGUCUUGUAGAGGGGGGUAGAAUUCCAGGUGUAGCGGUGAAAUGCGUAUAGAUCUGGAGGAAUACCGGUGGCGAAGGCGGCCCCCUGGACAAAGACUGACGCUCAGGUGCGAAAGCGUGGGGAGCAAACA
rnacentral:rRNA from 1 species